UACAGAGGUCUCGAGCGUUGUUCGGAUUCAUUGGGCGUAAAGGGUGCGUAGGUGGUCUGGUAAGUCGGAUGUGAAAUCCCGGAGCUUAACUUCGGAACUGCAUUCGAUACUGCCGGACUGGAGUACUGGAUAGGAGAUCGGAAUUUACGGUGUAGCAGUGAAAUGCGUAGAUAUCGUAAGGAAGACCAGUGGCGAAGGCGGAUCUCUGGACAGUUACUGACACUGAGGCACGAAGGCCAGGGGAGCAAACGGG
rnacentral:rRNA from 1 species